UGGCCGGUCGUCCAAUGGCAGGACACGGGCCUUUGGAGCCUGGAAUGGAGGUUCGAAUCCUCCCCGGCCAGCCA
rnacentral:tRNA from 1 species